rnacentral:rRNA from 1 species
UACGGAGGGUGCAAGUGUUAUCCGGAUUCACUGGGUUUAAAGGGUGCGUAGGUGGGCAGGAAAGUCAGUGGUGAAAUCUCCGGGCUUAACCCGGAAACUGCCGUUGAUACUAUUUGUCUUGAAUAUUGUGGAGGUAAGCGGAAUAUGUCAUGUAGCGGUGAAAUGCUUAGAUAUGACAUAGAACACCAAUUGCGAAGGCAGCUUACUACACAAUGAUUGACGCUGAGGCACGAAAGCGUGGGGAUCAAACAGG